AUCAAACCUGCGAAGAAGAAGAGUAGUCGAAGGGCGAUUCUCAAAGCGAGCUGUGGGCGGUGAGAGCACGGCAGAGGAGUUUUCGAUGAAUGGGCUUCCGAGGGCGGACGAAAGCCGAAAGGCAAGUAGCAAUCGACGGGGUGCGCUUCCGUUACCAUGGCGUCGCGUAUAUUCUGUACGCGAUAAAGAGGAAGUAUUUUUAUAUUUCCAUUCGGGUGGCACCGCGGAUAUGUUUAUUCGUCCCGAGU
rnacentral:ncRNA from 1 species